rnacentral:rRNA from 1 species
CCUACGGGAGGCAGCAGUGGGGAAUAUUGCACAAUGGGGGGAACCCUGAUGCAGCGACGCCGCGUGGGUGAAGAAGUACUUCGGUACGUAAAGCCCUAUCAGCAGGAAAGAAAAUGCCGGUACCUGACUAAGCAGCCCCGGCUAACUACGUUCCAGCAGCCGCGGUAAUACGUAGGGAGCAAGCGGUCUCCGGCUUUACUGGGUGAACAGGGAGCGGAGACGUCGGUGCAAGUCAGGAGUGAAAGCCCGGGGCUCAACCCUGGGACUGCUGUGGAAACUGUAAAGCUGGAGUGCGGGAGGGGAAGGCGGAAUUCCUGGUGUAGCGGUGAAAUGCGUAGAGAUCAGGAGGAACACCGGUGGCGAAGGCGGCCUGCUGGUCUGUAACUGACGUUGAGGCGCGAAAGCGUGGGGAGCAAACAGGAUUAGAUACCCUUGUAGUC